GUGCUUCCUUUUGCAGCACACAUACUAAAACUGGAACAAUUUUAGAGAAAAUCAGCAUGGCCCCUGUGCAGGGAUGAUAUGCAAAUUUGUGAAGUGUUCCAUUAAAAA
rnacentral:snRNA from 1 species